GGGGCAUAUUUUUUCCCUCAGAUAUAGCGUAAUGAUGAGAGCCAUCUUAAACUAUGCUCUUCGGUCUUCAAGCCUGUCAUACUGACUCGUCUUGAGCGAAAAUAAGUCUGUAACCCGCAAUGUGUG
rnacentral:sRNA from 1 species